GUAGGUGGCAAGCGUUGUCCGGGAAUUAUUGGGGCGUAAAGCGCGCGCAGGUGGUUCGUUUAAGUCUGAUGUGAAAGACCCCCCCGGGCUCAAACCCGGGGGAGGGUCAUUGGAAACUGGGGAACUUGAGUGCAGGAGAGGAAAGUGGAAUUCCACGUGUAGCGGUGAAAUGCGUAGAUAUGUGGAGGAACACCAGUGGCGAAGGCGACUUUCUGGCCUGUAACUGACACUGAGGCGCGAAAGCGUGGGGAGCAAACAGGAUUAGAUACCCUGGUAGUCCACGCCGUAAACGAUGAGUGCUAAGUGUUGGGGGGUUUCCGCCCCUCAGUGCUGCAGCUAACGCAUUAAGCACUCCGCCUGGGGAGUACGGUCGCAAAGACUGA
rnacentral:rRNA from 1 species